rnacentral:rRNA from 1 species
GAUGAACGCUGGCGGCGUGCCUAAUACAUGCAAGUCGAGCGAACAGACGAGGAGCUUGCUCCUCUGACGUUAGCGGCGGACGGGUUAGUAACACGUGGAUAACCUACCUAUAAGACUGGGAUAACUUCGGGAAACCGGAGCUAAUACCGGAUAAUAUAUUGAACCGCAUGGUUCAAUAGUGAAAGACGGUUUUGCUGUCACUUAUAGAUGGAUCCGCGCCGCAUUAGCUAGUUGGUAAGGUAACGGCUUACCAAGGCGACGAUGCGUAGCCGACCUGAGAGGGUGAUCGGCCACACUGGAACUGAGACACGGUCCAGACUCCGACGGGAGGCAGCAGUAGGGAAGCUUCCGGAAUGGGCGAAAGCCUGACGGAGCAACGCCGCGUGAGUGAUGAAGGUAUUCGGAUCGUAAAACUCUGUUAUUAGGGAAGAACAAAUGUGUAAGUAACUAUGCACGUCUUGACGGUACCUAAUCAGAAAGCCACGGCUAACUACGUG